AGCAACACAAGUAUUAAAGGUCCCGCCUGCCCAGUGAAAACCUUUCAACGGCCGCGGUAUUCUAACCGUGCAAAGGUAGCGUAAUCACUUGUCUUCUAAAUAAAGACCAGUAUGAACGGCUAAAUGAGGAUAAACCUGUCUCUUAUGAUUAAUCAGUGAAACUGAUUUUCCAGUACAAAAGCUGGAAUAGCUACAUAAGACGAGAAGACCCCGUGGAGCUUUAAACAAACACUAAAUAUUAUCAAUUAGCAUAGUUUUAAGUUGGGGCGACUUCGGAAUAAAGAAAAACUUCCGAGCACAGAACCACCGCUUCUAACCAAGGUUAACAAACCUAAGUACAAAACUGAUCCGGUCACACCGACCAACGAACCAAGUUACCCCGGGGAUAACAGCGCUAUCUUCUUCUAGAGUCCCUAUCAACAAGAAGGUUUACGACCUCGAUGUUGGAUCAGGACACCCAAAUGGUGCAGCCGCUAUUAAAGGUUCGUUUGUUCAACGAUU
rnacentral:rRNA from 1 species